GGACGCUUCACUUGCUCCAAGUUAACUACCAAAGCUCUGAAUGGGCGGCCAAACGGCUGAGGCUUUGUUUGCCACACCUUGAGGCUGAUAUUAAAAGAGGUGCUGAGCGGGAGUGCAAACAAACAAACAGCAGCCCUGCACCUCACCUCUGACCUGAGGGGGCUUUGUUCAAAUUGCCCUCUGGACUCAUAUUGACCAGCGACUGAAAUGCUGCAGGAUUUGACAGGGUUCAAAAAUGAGCAAAGCCACAUUAUUCUGGCAGAGCCGAGCGGGCCGGGGCGUACAGUAAUGUGUUUCACAGUGUGCAGGACGGCUCAUGAUGGAUGGACUUCUGCUCCAAAAUGCGUUACGCUCAAUCAACUCAUAAAUAACGGAUGUUAUAUCAUGCUGAAUUAAAACAUUUGAGAGAAUGGCAGGCAUACACAGUUCAGUUCCGCUGUUCAUGUAUGUGUGUGUGUGUGUGUGUGUGUACUUCCUCAAGAAUGUGUUGCUGAAGGUUGCUUCCUGUAUUUACGAGGCCAGUAAGAACUAGCACGGAUGUAUUAUAACUCUAUAACUAUGUAUUCAUUAUAUUUUUUUUUUUCAACACACACUGCAAAUCAAUUCAAAGUCAACUGUACACUUUAAAUAGUUGAAAUAACGCCAUUCGAGCUUCUCGAAAUAAA